AUACGUGUGUGUGUGUUGGGAGCAAGGUGUUAUAUCAGGAAAUCUCUUGUGCUUCAGAUUUGAUGAACAUGGGAUGAGUAAGAAUGAUUCUAGGGGUAUUGGUGUUGCUUCUAGUUCAUAGGAAAGAGUUGAGUUUGAUUUGUCUUUGAGCAACACCGAUGUUCUCAGAGGAGCAAUUCUGAAAGAGCUAUACAUUGUUUUGACUAGCAGUAGUAGAAUUAGGAUGUGUUGAUGGGUUUCAGAUUGUAGUCUUUUGUUUAUCAAAUGUUAGAUUCCAGUAUCAGAAGUUCAGAACCACAAGCAUGAUUGGUAUUUGUUAUGUCUAGGCCAGAUAUGAGAUUUUGGGAGCUAUAAACAUUUCUUUAAAACUUUAACAAUCUUUUAUUUUGUAAUUUGGGGUCAUAUAAAAAACUCUAAAAUUUUCGGGGGUCUGUCAAUAUUUUAU
rnacentral:lncRNA from 1 species